GAUGAACGCUGGCGGCGUGCCUAAUACAUGCAAGUCGAGCGAACGGACGAGAAGCUUGCUUCUCUGAUGUUAGCGGCGGACGGGUGAGUAACACGUGGAUAACCUACCUAUAAGACUGGGAUAACUUCGGGACACCGGCGCUAAUACCGGAUAAUAUUUUGAACCGCAUGGUUCAAAAGUGAAAGACGGUCUUGCUGUCACUUAUAGAUGGAUCCGCGCUGCAUUAGCUAGUUGGUAAGGUAACGGCUUACCACGGCAACGAUGCAUAGCCGACCUGAGAGGCGGAGAGGCCACACUGGAACUGGGACACGGACCAGACUACUAGGGCAGGCAGAAGUAGGGAAUCUUCCGGAAUGGGCGAAAGCGGGACGGAGGAACGCCGCGUGAAAGAUGAAGGUCUUCGGAUCGUAAAAAUCUGUUAGUAGGGAAGAACAUAUGUGUAAGUAACUGUGCACAACUUGACGGUAACUAAUCAGAAAGCCACGGCUAACUACGUG
rnacentral:rRNA from 1 species